rnacentral:lncRNA from 1 species
GGGCACAACAACAGAAGAAUCGAUAAAUCAGAAGAUAAGAUUGGAUUGAGCUUUGUAUAAAAUAUAGUGUAAGUUUGCCAGAAAAUUCCUCACCUUACAUUGACAACUGAGCUCAUUAUUUAUAGCUAUGAAGAACGUCUUAGGGUCGUGCCCUUCUAUAAUGUCAAUUAUGAGGGUAUGAAGAUGUAAAUGUGAAUAUAAAUGUCAAAUUCCUUGUAACGGAUAACUGCUCUUAAUGCUAUGAAUAUUCUCUAUUGAAUGCUACCGGGAGAAGAGCAUUUAUCACAUCCUUAUGAACAUUAUUCUUCCCAGUGACAAACGAAACAGUUGUCGUCAGUCUUCAAUCAUCUCCCUGUCUUGGACUCCACGUAUCCCUUUCUUGGACGGCCACGUGUCAUAAUAUAUUUCACCCAAUACAUUAGUCUAGUUAGAACAAAAGAAAUCUCGUUAAAUUAAAUUUUAAUAUUUCAAAAUACUUUUCAAUAUUUAAUGCUUAUCGUUUAAUUUUUUAUCAGUUAAACUAAAUGGACUCUUUACGGCAAAAAAAAUAUGAUCUGGAACUGGAUUUUUUUCACCCUUCAUCCUAUUUUUAUUAAGGGAAUCUUAGAGAAAUGUCCCAAAUAAGUUCUAACUUACCAACUUCUAGCCAUUAAUCGUAAAUUUAUCAAAACUAGUCAAGCACAUAUAAAAAUUAAAAACUCAAAUAUAUAAGGAUUCUUUCUCUCUAAGAAUCACACGCAAAGAUCUCCUUCCGUAUUUUUAAGCGUGAUCAGCAAUAUUAGAUACAAGACGAAAAUAAAAUUUUAUAGAUGAGGUAACAAACAAGGUGAUUGAUUAAUGGGUAUGGCUGAAAUUCAUUGAAAACAUAUAGAUGAGCCAAUAUACAAAAAUUGAGGAAGAUUAUAGGUGAUUUGGACUGAUUUGUUAUCAAAAAUCGUAACUAAAAUCGAGUUCAAAAAAUUCUUCUAUGACACAUGUAUCAUGCAUGUAUCUUAUACAUAGAUAUACAUGGAUAUAUAUGUGAUACACAUUUGAACAAAUAUGAUACAUAUAUGAUACAUAAAUGAUCUUUUUUCAUGUUCAUCUUCUACUUCGAAUUUUUAAUUCAAACCACCUCAAAUCUCUAUCAAAUCAUCCCAAAACUGAGAUUUAAACUCUUUAAGAUGUAUCCAAUCUAUUUCAACAACACUCACUUAAAAGAAAGUAAAAGUUUGACCUUUUUUUUUUGCUACGAAUAGUUAAUUAGCUAAUAUUAAUAAUAUUUUAUGAAUUGACUAAUUUUUGUACUAACUUACUUAUGGACUGACAUACCUGAUAAUUUUCCUUCUUUUAAUUUUUCAAUGAUUCGAUGAAUAGAGUCAGCUAAAAGAAAAAUACAAAAACAAAGGAAGCUGAUUUUGUGAGAAUCCAAGAAGUAGGCAGGGGCGGAUCUACCUUAUGAGCUAGGGGUACCACGACACCCGCUCGCUUCGCUAAAAUUCUUACUAUGUACAUAAUAUCUCUGUGAAGAAACGUAUAAAUGGAUAGAGUGACAUCCAAAAGUCACAAAGUGAAAGCGGGUGCCAUUGGUUCAGCCUUCCCUUUGAAGGCUUUCCUUGGCCUCAUGAAUGCAAGUUCGAUUCCAUGUUGUAGCAACUCCUUUGAUUUUUUCUUUUUUCUACCUAUUAAGAUUUCCUCUAUUUUCAGUUGAGCCCUAGGUCCUCACCUCUUUUCCUUUGUUUUCAUUUUUUUCCCUCCUUUUAUUACUUGCUAAGUCUCUCUUCUUCAUUUUUUAAACUUUCAGUUCUCAUUUUGUUUCUAUCAUUAUACCUUACUUUAUGAACAAUUAUUUUCUAUAGGUAAUUUGAAUUGAUUUUAAUAGCAUAUAAUUUUUUANNNNNNNNNNNNNNNNNNNNNNNNNGGUUGAAUGUUGAAAGUUUUUCUUUGAAAAUAAUUGUCAUAUAAGUCAAUAAUUAAGAUGAAAAAUAAAUAAAGAACAAUACAAGUAAAUUAAUCUAGUCAAACAAAGAAUAUAUAGUGUAGUUAAGGUACUCCCUUAGGGCCUCACCUCUUUUCCUUCUUUUUCGUUUCUUUCCCUCCUUUUAUUACUUGCUAAGUCUCUCUUCUUCAUUUUUUAAACUUUCAGUUCUCAUUUUAUUUCUAUCAUUAUACCUUACUUUAUGAACAAUUAUUUUCUAUAGGUAAUUUGAAUUGAUUUUAAUUAGCAUAUAAUUUAUUUAUUUUUAAUGAAACGAUAUUAAUAUCAUAGGUCGAAUAUUGAAGGUUUUUCUUUGAAAAUAAUUGUCGUAUAAGUCAACAAUUAAGAUGGAAAAUAAAUAAAGAACAAUACAAGUAAAUUAAUCUAGUCAAACAAAGAAUAUAUAGUGUAGUUAAGGUACUCUUUAAGCAAAUAUUUAUAUUGGAAGCGCUCUUUCAUGAAAUAUUUUUUUUUUGUAUUUUUAUUUAGAAUGUGUUUAAAUUAAGCGUUAAAAAUUUGAAUUAAAAUCGAACUUAUUUGCUUUGUGAACAAAAGGCCUAUUCAAAUUAACCAAAAACAAAUCAAACCGAUCCAUUAUUCCUAAUCUGUCUUUGUAACUACUGACAUAUAUAUAUAUUGUAUGCAUAACAUGGUGGCACCCGCAACCUUCGAAUCCUGGAUCCGUCUCUGGAAGUAGGUGCAUGAAGCCUACGUCAGAAAGGACAAAGGGCAGCCGGGAGACUCGGAAAAACGGACGGAAAAAUAUUAGGUAGUAUUUGCUUAGAGUUUAAUUGUGUGCACUGACGGUCUAAACAAUAAGAAAAUUUCAUAAAGUACUACAGUUUCAUAGCUAAUUACAAUUCGCAGUUAUUGCUUCAAUAUCUAUCACUCGUAGCAAAUCUUUUCUUGCCAGACUUUUGUAUUAACCAUAUUCGUUCGAGCAAUGAAUACAGCAGCGCAUGUGUCAACUAUAUUUAUUUGUGCAACUAAUACAACAUAUAUCAACUGUAUUCGUUCACGCAACGAAUAUAAAAGCAAAAUACAUAAAUAUAAGGUUGGAUACAAGGAUACAAACAACAAAAAUAUAGAGGUAUAUACAUGGAUACAUAACCACAAAAAUACAAUCAAACAUAUAUGGUACAAAAAAGAUAUUCCAUGCCUGAAUAAAGUACAUACAUGGUACAAAAUCAAGGCAAAAUAUAUAAAUACAAGGAUUUGACGAAAAAUUUCUCCCUCGAAAUACAGAAUAUAGGUGUGUUUGCUAUAAAAUUCAAAUAUAACUAUGAAUGAUAAUUUUUUAAAAGUAUAACUAAGGAUGGCAAAUUCAAUAUGAGAAUAAUUUUAUCUAAAUAAAUCUUUAUUAGUAAUAAAUGAUAAAUAUAAUUUUAUACAAUAAGUUAAACUAUGCUAAUAAUGUACGAACCCAUUAUGUUGUUAGUUUAAAUUCAUUUGUUUAUAUUAGUGAAACAUUUAAAUUAGAGGGGAAAGUUUUUAGGCAAUUUGUUAAGGGUGACGGAAAUCACGCAUCACCGUCACCGACCACGUGAUGCACGCAGUAUCCUUUAUGCAAACAAACGUUUCAGCUAUGACGUGAUAAUAAAGAAUUCUAGAAAACAUGAUUGUGAUUUCCCAUAAGUAAGAAAGUUAUUUUUCCCUUUUGAUAAAAAUAUUUUUCUUAAAUAACAUCUAACAACCAAACACCACAAACGGCUAACUUUUCGAAAAGCAUUUUCCCGGAAAAAAAGUACAUCGUACCACAACGUAACGUUUACUAUUAAAUAAGAUUUUUUCAUCCUGGUGUAUUAAACUCCUGUUAUAUACGGGUUCUGAUAAAUAAUCGAACCACAAUUUUAUCCUGCAUUUCUGCAAGACGUGUCUUUGAUAUCAAAUUAAAGAGAUGUGCAGUCAGGUUUGCUAAAGUAAAAGGUAGGUUUAAGGGUGUGUUUGGUAUAACGAAAAAUAUUUUCCGUGAAAAAUAUUUUAUUGGAAAACAAGAAAAUAUUUUCUUGGUACGCGUAAACUUCCAAACACAUAAAAUUCUGAAUUCAUAACUUUGGAACUUGUAAAAUUUCGAACAUGUAAACCGAAAGAUGAAAAAACUAAAACGGGAAAUAUAUAAAAAAAAUAUUUUUUCUGGGGGGGAAGGGGGAGAGGUGGGCAGGGGCAGAGGGGAUGCAGAAAAACGAAAAAACAGAAAUUUGAAAUUACAAAACAAAAAGUAAAAAAAAAAAUAUUGUGCGGGGGUGGGGUAGUAGCAGUGGGGGUGGGUUUGGCGGGGUGGGUGGUGCAGAAAAACGAAAAAAAAAAUGGAAUUACAAUUAAAAAAAAAGUAAUUUUUUUGUUGGGGGGAGGUUAGUAGGGUGGGUGUUGACGAAAAAAAAACUGAAAUUUAAAAAAACAAAAGUCUUUUCUGAGAGAGGGAGUGGGGUGGGUAGGCAUGGGUGGGGUUAGGUGGGUGGGUGUGGGGGUAUGGGAUGGGUUAGUGAGGGUGGGGAAUAGGAUGGGGAAGGUUGAGAAGGAGUUUUGGAAAAUGUUUUCCUUUCUCUUGAUAAGGAAAAUAUUUUCCUCCAAUUGGAGGAAAAUGAGUUCAUAAGGAAAAUAUUUUCCAAAAUACCAAACACACCCUAAGUAAUGAGGAAUUUUCAUAAACUACUAUAGUUUAGAGCCUAUUAAUUAUAAUUUUUCUAAUUACCAUUCGUAGCUAUUAUUCAAUUGUUACUAACUUGUAUCUAUUGUAUUCAAACGCGCAACAAAUACAAUAUGUGUAUCAGUUGUAUUCGUUCGCGUAAUUGUAUUCAUUCGUGCAACGAAUACAAUAUGUAUCAACUGUAACCAAGGCGAAAUACAGGGGUGUAUACAAAGGAUACAACUUGUAUCGACUGUAUACAGGGGUGUAUAUAAAAAAUACAACAUGUAUCAACUGUAUUUGUUCGCUCAACGAAUACAACUAAGACGAAAUACAGAAUUUAGAAAAAUAAAAUGUUCAUAUUAAGAGCUUGUUGAGAGCUUGUUUCAGUUCAAAACAAUUAAUCUUUUAUUUCAUGAAUUUGCUAUAAAAUUCAAAAAUAACUAUGGAUAAUAAAUUUAUUGAAAGUAUAGCUACAAAUAGUAAAUAUAGUAUAAAUGUUUGAUGUGUCGUGUAAUAUUUUCUUCAUUUCUCGAAAGAAUUUCAAAAAACAAAAAAGCUUCAUUUCAGUGAUUGAGAAGGAAACAGCAAAGCAUUAACUAUUCAGAACUCCACAUGAAGCUUUUCUCCCUAUAAAAGUCCUUCAUUACUAGAACAAUAUCAAAAAAUAAUGCUACUCGCACUUAUAUACCAUAAAUACAACAACAAUAUACCUAGUAUUAUUUUACACCGUGAGAUUUGGGGAGGGUAGUGUGUACGCAGACCUUACCCCUACCUUGUGAGGAUAAAGAGGUUGUUUCCAAUAGACCUUCGACUCAAGAAAGCAUAAGCACCACAUUAAUGAAAAUAUAAAUAAGGAGGGAUAGUACCAAAAAGUCAUAUAAAACAGAAUAAAAUAAUAAGACAGCAAUGUGAUCAACAAUGAAAGAAACAACGGUUAGUCAUAAAAACCUACUACCAACAGAAAGCAAGAUUGCCAAUACUACUGUUAUGAAUACUCUAGACUACCUACUCUACUACCGUAAUCCUCGACGUCCAUACCUUCCUAUCAAGGGUCAUGUCCUUGGUCAGCUGAAGUUGCAUCAUGUCUUGCCUAAUCACCUCUCCCCACCUCUUCUUUGGCAUAUCUCUACCUCUCCGUAGGCCCUUCAAUGUCAACCUCUCACAUCUCCUCACUGGGGCGUCUGUGCUUCCCGCAUCUUGUCCUCAAUAGGGGCAACACCCACCUUGUCGCGAAUAACCUCAUUUCUGAUCCUAUCUAACCUGGUGUGACCGCACAUCUAUCUCAACAUUCUCAUCUCUGCUAUCUUCAUAUUCUGGACAUGAGCGAUCUUGACUGGCAAACACUCAGCCCCAUAUAAGUAUACAAUAUCGUUGGCCUGACCGCCACUCUGUAGAACUUACCCUUAAGUUUCGGUGGCACCUUAUUGUCACACAAAACACCGAAAGCGAGUCUCCAUUUCAUCCAUCCCGCCCCAAUACGAUGUGUGACAUCUUCAUCAAUCUCCCCAUCCCCCAGAAUAAUAGACCCAAGGUACUUAAAACUCCCUCUCCUAGGAAUGACCUGCGAGUCCAACCUCACUUCCCCUUCCCCUCCUUGAGUCUCGCCGCUGAACUUACACUCCAAGUAUUCUACUAUUCUGCUCAGUGACGGAAGCAGGAACUUUACCGAGAGGAUUCAAAAAAUAAAAAAGUAAUUACGCAAAAAAAUUAAGGGGAUUCAACAUCUAAUAUAUAGAUGAAGGAAAAAAUUAACCUUAAUGUAAUUUCCAGCGAAGAAGGUUCGGUUGAACCCGCCCACGUAGCUCCGCCCCUGAUUCAGCUGACUAUUAAUAGAGGAGGGAAUGCUUUCCAUAUUUUCUCAGAAGAAAAGAGGCUUGUUAACAUGAUUAACGAAGCAACUUUGCAUUCACUGCCAUUGUCAACAAUCUUUGAAAAUAUUUGUAUAGUAAAGUUUUCAUGUCUUGUAUUUUCUCGUAUUUUAAUAUGUCCUUCAACAAUGAUAAACAUUUAUUAGUUAAAAAUUUUAAAAUUUCUCUUUUAAGAGAAGUUACCUAAGAAAAUGGAUUCACAAAUUGGCUAAACGUGGAGGCCUUUAAUGCUUUUGGUCAGCUGAUGUUUCAAGUUUGAUAUAAAACAACUUGUACACGUAGAAAGAACAUCAGCUCCAGCACACUUGUUACAUUUUUGGCAAACUUUCCUAACCUGCUCUGCACUUAUUCUGAAGUUAUAAGCUUCCUUUGGAUACCUAAUACUUUGUUAUAUCACUUGUUUUUAUAGGAAUCAUAAUGCAAUAAGUAAAUGCUUC